UAGGGAAUCUUCCACAAUGGACGCAAGUCUGAUGGAGCAACGCCGCGUGAGUGAAGAAGGCUUUCGGGUCGUAAAACUCUGUUAUUGAAGAAGAACGUGUGUGACAGUAACUGGUCAUGCAGUGACGGUAUUCAAUCAGAAAGUCACGGCUAACUACGUGCCAGCAGCCGCGGUAAUACGUAGGUGGCAAGCGUUGUCCGGAUUUAUUGGGCGUAAAGCGAGUGCAGGCGGUCUUUUAAGUCUGAUGUGAAAGCCUUCGGCUUAACCGAAGAAGGGCAUCGGAAACUGGGAGACUUGCAGA
rnacentral:rRNA from 1 species